UACGUUGAAACAUCCGUUUCCAUACGAUCACCGAAGUUAAGCAAAGUAGAUUCUGGUUAGUACCUAGAUGGGAAACUGCUUGAGAUUACCAGGUGCUGUAG